GAGGCAGCAGUGGGGAAUAUUGCACAAUGGGCGCAAGCCUGAUGCAGCCAUGCCGCGUGUGUGAAGAAGGCCUUCGGGUUGUAAAGCACUUUCAGCGGGGAGGAAGGCGAUAAGGUUAAUAACCUUGUCGAUUGACGUUACCCGCAGAAGAAGCACCGGCUAACUCCGUGCCAGCAGCCGCGGUAAUACGGAGGGUGCAAGCGUUAAUCGGAAUUACUGGGCGUAAAGCGCACGCAGGCGGUCUGUCAAGUCGGA
rnacentral:rRNA from 1 species